CAUUGAGCCGUGUCACCAAAUGGACGGAGGAUAUUGCGGAACAGUCACCCAAGAAACGUUAUCCAUAAUCGAACAGUCAUCCAAUUCCUAGCUAUUGAUAAGCUUUAUCGGCACCAUUAUCAGAUAUCUGAAAACCACAGUUGACGGCUGCACGUUAUUAUCUGCCCAGGAUAUUCAGCAGACAAGAAAUAACCCUGACGUACUUGACUUUGAGAGCGGAUUUUCUUUAAAGAGAGUCAUGCAAAGAAAAAUGGAGAGUAUUUAGAAAAAUGUCAACGGUCAUAUACCUACGUGUAUGGUUUAAAAUAAAUGAGAGACCUCGACUCGAUCGGGACAUGUAUAUAUGUAUACAUACUCUUCAUACAGAUGAAUACAUGUAUAUAUGUACGAUUGCGCAUCGUGACGAGAUUUCAAGAUUACAUGCUCCGCAUGCAUAUUCAAGCGGAAUUCUGCCAAGCAGAAUACAAGUCCAAUAUUACUUCUCUUGAUCCUAUAGAUUAUAUACACAUGUAUAGUCUUUGAAGUGACAGAAAGAUUCGUUUUCCCAGCUAAUGAACGGAUUUACACCAGAUAAUUAUCACGGAACCACGUAACUUGCAUUACGUUAUCGAAUUCAACACAUUCAACUGUAUAUCUGAUUUUCAAUUCCCACAUGUAUCGGUGCAUAUUUAUAAGGAUGAAUACAGAGCAGAAGGCGUGAAGAUGCCCUCGUUAAGAUUUCAUUCGCAAUCUUUCCCCGGGAUGGUCUCUCCCGUGGCUCGUAUCCUGGGGCGUAUUCUCUUCACCGAAACUAACCAAGUGAAGCACCAAGGACUUAUUCUUGGACCUGGUAUUGUUCUCGUACAAGAUAGCAAGUGGUAGAGGAAGAUUGGGUUGGAAUAAAUGAGAUGGAAGAUAGACAGAAUAAAAAACACGAAAGAAAAGAGAUAUAAAAUGGAAUUGUAGAUGAGGAAAAAUUGUUAAAACUUCUUGAGUAUACUUGGCUGUUUAAUAAUUCAUGAAGGUUUUUACUAGGAUGGCGAUAAAAGCUCCACCGGAAGUCCUAGUGGUUGUCUGGAUAAUUAACCAGUCACUUAAUCUUCUACGACCCUUUCGUUAAUAUGUGAUAAUUCUUUCUUAGCUGAGUAAACUAUAGAUAACGCAGCCUGACGACCACUUUGAUACUACGUUGAUGAUAAUCAGGAAAUUUUUACUUUGAAACCAAUUUGUUUGUCAUUAAUUAAAACAAGCUGCUUCUCUUUAUUACUUUCUUAUGUAGCUAUAAGAUUUUAUGAACUGCUAACUCACCUCUGUUUACAUGAGUAUACGUGUACAGGAAGGUACAGAAAUACUGGAUAUAUUAUUAAUGCGUCAGGAUAUAGAUUAACCCAUGUUCGCACACGCCUUGUUGCGAACAACCUUUAAUCAAUAACUGUUAUCAGUCAUGUUAAUGAGAAAAGUUAGCAGAAUUAUGUUUUGUUUAUUGAAAGUUUUGAUAGCUAUUCGUUAAAAAUAAAAGACUGUGUGUAGGCCGGACUGUAUUAACAUAUAGGUCCCAAGUUGCUUGGAUAAAAGAGGUAAUUUUUUUCAAGCGGUGCCUCAUAUAUUGGCAACCCUGCCAUUUGAUGUAACGGUACUACGCGUAAGAUCGAACUAAGCUAUUACCAGUUAUAAAAAUUUAUAAUUUUAAAUAUUACACUAUCAACAUGUACCUAACAAUCUAUAGGUAUUAAUUUCAUUAAAUAAAAAUUUCCCCACUAUAAAAAUAGA